rnacentral:misc_RNA from 1 species
UCUCCGUUGGUGAACCAGCGGAGGGAUCAUUACCGAGUUUACAACUCCCAAACCCCAUGUGAACCUUACCAAACGUUGCUUCGGCGGGAUGCCCCGGGCGCGGGCCGCAAGGCCUCAGCCCCGGAACCAGGCGCUCGCCGGAGGCCCAAACCAGACUCUUGUUUUUGUAGAAUCUUCUGAGUGGCCUUUUAGGCAAAAAAUGAAUCAAAACCUUCAACAACGGAUCUCUUGGUUCUG